rnacentral:rRNA from 1 species
AACGAAUGCUGGCGGCAGGCUUAACACAUGCAAGUCGAGCGCCCCGCAAGGGGAGCGGCAGACGGGUGAGUAACGCGUGGGAAUCUACCCGUCUCUACGGAAUAACGCAUGGAAACGUGUGCUAAUACCGUAUACGUCCUUCGGGAGAAAGAUGUAUCGGAGAUGGAUGAGCCCGCGUUGGAUUAGCUAGUUGGUGGGGUAAAGGCCUACCAAGGCGACGAUCCAUAGCUGGUCUGAGAGGAUGAUCAGCCACACUGGGACUGAGACACGGCCCAGACUCCUACGGGAGGCAGCAGUGGGGAAUAUUGGACAAUGGGCGCAAGCCUGAUCCAGCCAUGCCGCGUGAGUGAUGAAGGCCCUAGGGUUGUAAAGCUCUUUCACCGGUGAAGAUAAUGACGGUAACCGGAGAAGAAGCCCCGGCUAACUUCGUGCCAGCCGCCGCAGUAACAC